GUGCCAGCAGCCGCGGUAAUACGUAGGUGACAAGCGUUGUCCGGAUUUAUUGGGCGUAAAGCGAGCGCAGGCGGUUUCUUAAGUCUGAUGUGAAAGCCUUCGGCUCAACCGAAGAAGUGCAUCGGAAACUGGGAAACUUGAGUGCAGAAGAGGACAGUGGAACUCCAUGUGUAGCGGUGAAAUGCGUAGAUAUAUGGAAGAACACCAGUGGCGAAGGCGGCUGUCUGGUCUGUAACUGACGCUGAGGCUCGAAAGCAUGGGUAGCAAACAGGAUUAGAUACCCUGGUAGUCCAUGCCGUAAACGAUGAGUGCUAGGUGUUGGAGGGUUUCCGCCCUUCAGUGCCGCAGCUAACGCAUUAAGCACUCCGCCUGGGGAGUACGACCGCAAGGUUGAAACUCAAAGGAAUUGACGGGGGCCCGCACAAGCGGUGGAGCAUGUGGUUUAAUUCGAAGCAACGCGAAGAACCUUACCAGGUCUUGACAUCCUUUGACCACUCUAGAGAUAGAGCUUUCCCUUCGGGGACAAAGUGACAGGUGGUGCAUGGUUGUCGUCAGCUCGUGUCGUGAGAUGUUGGGUUAAGUCCCGCAACGAGCGCAACCCUUAUUACUAGUUGCCAGCAUUUAGUUGGGCACUCUAGUGAGACUGCCGGUGACAAACCGGAGGAAGGUGGGGACGACGUCAAAUCAUCAUGCCCCUUAUGACCUGGGCUACACACGUGCUACAAUGGAUGGUACAACGAGUUGCGAGACCGCGAGGUUUAGCUAAUCUCUUAAAACCAUUCUCAGUUCGGAUUGUAGGCUGCAACUCGCCUACAUGAAGCCGGAAUCGCUAGUAAUCGCGGAUCAGCAUGCCGCGGUGAAUACGUUCCCGGGCCUUGUACACACCGCCCGU
rnacentral:rRNA from 1 species